rnacentral:rRNA from 1 species
GACGACGCUGGCGGCGUGGAUUAGGCAUGCAAGUCGAACGGUAUCAUCCUUUCGGGGGUGAGAGAGUGGCGAACUGGUGAGUAACACGUAGGUUAUCUACCCUCAAGACGGGGACAACCCAGGGAAACUUGGGCUAAUACCGGAUGUGAGCAACUUUUAGUUGUUUGAAAGGUGGCGUAAGCUGUCGCUUGGGGAUGAGCCUGCGUCCUAUUAGUUAGUUGGUGAGGUAACGGCUCACCUAGGCAAUGAUAGGUAGGCGGCCUUAACGGGUGGUCGCCCACACUGGGAUUGAGAUACGGCCCAGACUCCUACGGGAGGCAGCAGUCGAGAAUAGUCUACAAUGGUCGGAAGACUGAUAGUGCGACGCUGCGUGAACGAUGAAUCCCUUCGGGGUGUAAAGUUCUUUUAUAUGUGAGCAGUGCUUCUUAUAUUAACAGUAUGGGGAGAGAGAUAUUAGCAUAUGAAUAAGCAACGGCUAACUCCGUG